GUCUUUAUGAUUAUAAUUUAAAGUCUGACCUGCUCAAUGAAUAUUUUAAAUAGCUGCGGUAUAUUGACCGUACAAAGGUAGCAUAAUCAAUAGUUUUUUAAAUGAAAACUGGAAUGAAAGGUUUGAUAAAAAAAAUACUGUCUUAAUUUAAUUUUUUUUAAAAAUUUAUUUUUUAGUUAAAAAGCUAAAAUAUUUUUGAAAGACGAGAAGACCCUAUAAAGUUUGAUUAAAUAAAAUUUUAUUUUUAUAAAGUUAAAAUUAUAAUAAAAUUUUAGUUAAUUUGAUUGGGGUGAUUGAAAAAUUUGAUAAACUUUUUUUAAUUUAAAUUCAAUAAUAUUUGUUUCUUUUUUUGAUCCAUUUUUAUGAUUAUAAGAUUAAAUUACUUUAGGGAUAACAGCAUAAUUUCUUUUUAGAGUUCUUAUCGAAAAAGGAGAUUGUGACCUCGAUGUUGGAUUAAAAUUAAUUUAAGGUGAAGAAGCUUUAAAAUUUGGUCUGUUCGACCAUUAAAAUUUUACA
rnacentral:rRNA from 1 species